CAUGCAUGUCUAAGUAUAAGCAAUUAUACAGCGAAACUGCGAAUGGCUCAUUAUAUAAGUUAUCGUUUAUUUGAUAAUACCUUACUACUUGGAUAACCGUGGUAAUUCUAGAGCUAAUACAUGCUAAAAAUCCCGACUUCGGAAGGGUUGUAUUUAUUAGAUUAAAAACCAAUGCCCUCUGGGCUCUCUGGUGAAUCAUGAUAACUAGUCGAAUCGACAGGCCUUGUGCCGGCGAUGGCUCAUUCAAAUUUCUUCCCUAUCAACUUUCGAUGUUUGGGUAUUGGCCAAACAUGGUGGCAACGGGUAACGGAGGGUUAGGGCUCGACCCCGGAGAAGGAGCCUGAGAAACGGCUACUACAUCCAAGGAAGGCAGCAGGCGCGCAAAUUACCCAAUCCCGACACGGGGAGGUAGUGACAAUAAAUACUGAUACAGGGCUCUUUUGGGUCUUGUAAUCGGAAUGAGUACAAUUUAAAUCCCUUAACGAGGAACAAUUGGAGGGCAAGUCUGGUGCCAGCAGCCGCGGUAAUUCCAGCUCCAAUAGCGUAUAUUAAAGUUGUUGUGGUUAAAAAGCUCGUAGUUGAACCUUGGGCCUGGCUGGCCGGUCCGCCUCACCGCGUGUACUGGUCCGGCCGGGCCUUUCCCUCUGUGGAACCCCAUGCCCUUCACUGGGUGUGGCGGGGAAACAGGACUUUUACUUUGAAAAAAUUAGAGUGCUCAAGGCAGGCCUAUGCUCGAAUACAUUAGCAUGGAAUAAUAAAAUAGGACGUGCGGUUCUAUUUUGUUGGUUUCUAGGACCGCCGUAAUGAUUAAUAGGGACAGUCGGGGGCAUCAGUAUUCAAUUGUCAGAGGUGAAAUUCUUGGAUUUAUUGAAGACUAACUACUGCGAAAGCAUUUGCCAAGGAUGUUUUCAUUAAUCAGGAACGAAAGUUAGGGGAUCGAAGACGAUCAGAUACCGUCGUAGUCUUAACCAUAAACUAUGCCGACUAGGGAUCGGACGAUGUUACAUUUUUGACGCGUUCGGCACCUUACGAGAAAUCAAAGUGCUUGGGCUCCAGGGGGAGUAUGGUCGCAAGGCUGAAACUUAAAGAAAUGACGGA
rnacentral:rRNA from 1 species